rnacentral:miRNA from 1 species
AGAAUGAGAGUGAUGAUGAGAUUAAGAGAGAAGAUGGGAGGAGAAAGUAACAAAAAUGAAAAAAUUUCAAAUAUAUUUCAAUUUUUAGUUUUCAUUUUCACUUUUGUUACUCAUUCAUCUCUCAUUUUCUCUCUCAAUCUCAUCUUCACUCUUACUCUU